AGCAGCCGCGGUAAUUCCAGCUCCAAUAGCGUAUAUUAAAGUUGUUGCAGUUAAAAAGCUCGUAGUUGAAUUUCGGGAUCAAUACGUCGGUCGUGCUUUCGGGUACGUACUGGCGUCAUUGGUUUCUCCUUUCUGACGAACCAUGAUGUCAUUAAUUUGGUGUUAUGGGGAGUUAGGACUGUUACUUUGAAAAAAUUAGAGUGUUUAAAGCAGGCUAACGCUUGAAUACAUUAGCAUGGAAUAAUGAAAUAGGACGUUAAUCCUAUUUUGUUGGUUUCUAGGAUCGACGUAAUGAUUAAUAGGGAUAGUUGGGGGCAUUAGUAUUCAAUUGUCAGAGGUGAAAUUCUUGGAUUUAUUGAAGACUAACUACUGCGAAAGCACUUGCCAAGGAUGUUUCAUUAAUCAAGAACGAAAGUUAGGGGAUCGAAGACGAUCAGAUACCGUCGUAGU
rnacentral:rRNA from 1 species